GGAUGCGAUCAUACCAGCACUAAAGCACCGGAUCCCAUCAGAACUUCGAAGUUAAGCAUGCUUGGGUGACAGUAGUACUAGGAUGGGUGACCUCUUGGGAAGUCCUCGUGUUGCAUUCC
rnacentral:rRNA from 1 species